rnacentral:rRNA from 1 species
GGUCACUGCUAUUGGGGGUUCGGCUAAGCCAUGCGAGCGGAGGGCGCGGUCGCAAGAUCGUGGCCCCGCACACGGCUCAGUAACACGUAGUCAACCUACCCUUGGGACGGGGACAACGCCGGGAAACUGGCGAUAAUCCCCGAUAGGUGAGGGACGCUGGGAUGCCUCUUCGCUCAAAGCUCCGGCGCCCGAGGAUGGGACUGCGGCCUAUCAGGCUGUUGGUGGUGUGACGGACCACCAAACCUACGACGGGUACGGGCGAUGGGAGUCGGAGCCCGGAGAUGGGGACUGAGACAAGGCCCCAGGCCCUACGGGGCGCAGCAGGCGCGAAAACUCCGCAAUGCGCGCAAGCGUGACGGGGGAACCCCAAGUGCCGUUGGUCUUUUGAUCGACGGCUUUUCGGAAGUCCAAUAAGCUUCCGGAAUAAGGGCUGGGUAAGACUGGUGCCAGCCGCCGCGGUAACACCAGCAGCCCAAGUGGUGGCCGCGAUUAUUGGGCCUAAAGCGCUCGUAGCCGGAUCAGCAAGUCCUUUGUGAAAUCGGGCCGCCCAACGGUUCGGCGUGCAAAGGAUACUGUUGGUCUUGAGACCGGGAGAGGUCGGAGGUACUCUUGGGGUAGCGGUGAAAUGCUGUAAUCCUGGGGGGACCACCAGUGGCGAAGGCGUCCGACCAGAACGGAUCUGACGGUGAGGGGCGAAGGCUAGGGGAGCGAACGGGAUUAGAUACCCCGGUAGUCCUAGCUGUAAAGCAUGCGGGCCAGGUGUCUAGCGCUCCUCGAGGGCGCUAUGUGCCGGAGGGAAGCCGUUAAGCCCGCCGCCUGGGAAGUACGGCCGCAAGGCUGAAACUUAAAGAAAUUGGCGGGGGAGCACCACAAGGGGUGGAACCUGCGGUUC